rfam:Coccidioides immitis RMSCC 3703 supercont1.82 genomic scaffold, whole genome shotgun sequence.
GCGGCUUUAGCUCAGUUGGGAGAGCGUUAGACUGAAGCCCCAACUUCAGUUUGCAAUCUAAAGGUCGCCUGUUCGAUCCAGGCAAGCCGCA